rnacentral:rRNA from 1 species
GAUGAACGCUGGCGGCGUGCCUAACACAUGCAAGUCGAACGAAGCACCUUACCUGAUUCUUCGGAUGAAAGUUUGGUGACUGAGUGGCGGACGGGUGAGUAACGCGUGGGUAACCUGCCCUGGACAGGGGGAUAACAGCUGGAAACGGCUGCUAAUACCGCAUAAGCGCACGAGGAGAAAUCUCCUUGUGUGAAAAACUCCGGUGGUACAGGAUGGGCCCGCGUCUGAUUAGCUGGUUGGCAGGGUAACGGCCUACCAAGGCAACGAUCAGUAGCCGGUCUGAGAGGAUGAGCGGCCACAUUGGAACUGGGACACAGUCCAGACUCCUACGGGAGGCAGCAGUGGGUAAUAUUGCACAAUGGGGGAAACCCUGAUGCAGCAACGCCGCGUGAGUGAAGAAGUAUUUCGGUAUGUAAAGCUCUAUCAGCAGGGAAGAUAAUGACGGUACCUGACGAAGAAGCACCGGCUAAAUACGUG